rnacentral:tRNA from 1 species
AGUAAAAUUAGUUUAUUUAAAAUACUAAGUUGUGGGCUUAGGGAAAAAGUAUUACUUUAUUUUACUA